GAUGAACGCUGGCGGCGUGCUUAACACAUGCAAGUCGAACGGGAAACCUUUUAUUGAAGCUUCGGCAGAUUUAGCUGGUUUCUAGUGGCGGACGGGUGAGUAACGCGUGGGUAACCUGCCUUAUACAGGGGGAUAACAGUCAGAAAUGGCCGCUAAUACCGCAUAAGCGCACAGAGCUGCAUGGCUCAGUGUGAAAAACUCCGGUGGUAUAAGAUGGACCCGCGUUGGAUUAGCUGGUUGGUGGGGUAACGGCCCACCAAGGCGACGAUCCAUAGCCGGCCUGAGAGGGUGAACGGCCACAUUGGGACUGAGACACGGCCCAGACUCCUACGGGAGGCAGCAGUGGGGAAUAUUGCACAAUGGGGGAAACCCUGAUGCAGCGACGCCGCGCGAAGGAAGAAGUAUCUCGGUAUGUAAACUUCUAUCAGCAGGGAAGAUAAUGACGGUACCUGACUAAGAAGCCCCGGCUAACUACGUG
rnacentral:rRNA from 1 species